CUUCUACACUAUGUCAGGACCCUUCUACACUAUGUCAGGACCCUUUUACACUAUGUCAGGACCCUUCUACAAUGUAGGAAAUCUUCUACACUAUGUCAGGACCUUUCUCCACUAUGUCAGGACCCUUCUACACUAUGUCAGGACCUUUCUACACUAUGUCAGGACCCUUCUACACUAUGUCAGGACCCUUUUACACUAUGUCAGGACCCUUCUACACUUUAGGAAAUCUUCUACACUAGAAGAGAAAGAGAGAGAGGAAACAGAGAGGAGGAAAGAGAGAGAGAACCAGAGGAGGAGAGAGAGAGAGAGCGAGAGAGAGAGAAAGAGAGAAAGAAACAGAGAGAGGAGGAGAGAGAGGUGAGGCAAUGAAGGAUAGAGUAGUGAGAUGAAGAUUGUGCCAGAACUCAGUGAGUGCAGGUAAAUCUCUCAGAGCUCAGUCAAUAAAACAGAGGGCUCUUAGAAAACAAACCCUUCUCCACUAUGUCAGGACCCUUCUAUGCUAUGUCAGGACCCUUCUACACUAUGUCAGGACCCUUCUAAUCUAUGUCAGGACCCUUCUACACUAUGUUUGGACCCUUCUACGCUGUAGGAAACGUUCUACACUAUGUCAGGAGCCUUCUCUACUAUGUCAGGACCCUUCUACGCUAUGUCAGGACCCUUCUACACUAUGUCAGGACCCUUCUACACUUUAGGAAAUCUUCUACACUAGAAGAGAAAGAGAAAGAGGAAACAGAGAGGAGGAAAGAGAGAGAGGUGAGGCAAUGAAGGAUAGAGUAGUGAGAGGAAGAGAGUGCCAGAACUCAGUGAGUGCAGCUAAAUCUCUCAAAGCUCAGUCAAUAAAACAGAGGGCUCUUAGAAAACAAACCCUUCUACACUGUUAGAACCCUUCUCCACUAUGUCAGGACACGUCUACACUAUGUCAGGACCCUUCUGCACUAUGUCAGGACCCUUCUACACUGUAGGAUAUCUUCUACACUAUGUCAGGACCCUUCUACACUAUGUCAGGACCAUUUUACACUAUGUCAG
rnacentral:lncRNA from 1 species